GAUGAAGAACGCAGCGAAAUGCGAUAAGUAGUGUGAAUUGCAGAAUUCAGUGAAUCAUCGAAUCUUUGAACGCACAUUGCGCCCCUUGGUAUUCCAUGGGGCAUGCCUGUUCGAGCGUCAUUUGUACCUUCAAGCUCUGCUUGGUGUUGGGUGUUUGUCUCGCCUCUGCGUGUAGACUCGCCUCAAAAUAAUUGGCAGCCGGCGUAUUGAUUUCGGAGCGCAGUACAUCUCGCGCUUUGCACUCAUAACGACGACGUCCAAAAGUACAUUUUUACACUCUUGACCUCGGAUCAGGUAGGGAUACCCGCUGAACUUAAGCAUAUCAAAGCGGAGGA
rnacentral:misc_RNA from 1 species